rnacentral:tRNA from 1 species
GUGGCUGUGGCUCAGUGGCAGAGCGCUUGUCUAGCAUGUGUGAGGCACUGGGUUCUAUCCUCAGCACCACA